AUUUAAGACAAUUUUAAGAGGCUUUUAAUGAGAAUUUUUCAUUAUUUCCUUCCACCAGAUUCAGGAGAACAACAAGUCUGUCUACUUUCUGAAUACUCAUGUGCGGUAUGCAUAAUCGAUACUUGGUGUUUAUCUCUGAAGACACUUCAGGCUAUAAAGCCACCUUCAGUGGAAUGGAAGACUCAAUGGAUCUGCUCCUCUUUUCUCUCCAUGAAGCUUGAAGAGGAGAUAGAAGAGUCUGAAAGGAUGGGGAGAAAGGAAGAAAGAGAGGGAGGAGAUGAGGGCAGGAGAGAACUUCUUAAUGUCCAUCUGAAAUAGGUUCCUAAAGGCUGAGGACUUAGUCAACAGGCAACAAAAAGAAAUGCUUGCCUCCAUUCUGGACCUAAAGGUAUGUGAGAAAAUCUAAUGGUAAGACUUCCCUGGGCUCCAAAAUCACUGCAGAUGGUGACUGCAGCCAUGAAAUUAAAAGACGCUUGCUUCUUGGAAGAAAAGUUAUGACUAACCUGCUGCUGCUGCUAAGUUGCUUCAGUCGUGUCUGACUCUGUGUGACCCCACAGAUGGCAGCCCACCAGGCUCCUCCAUCCCUGGGAUUCUCCAGGCAAGAACAGUGGGGUGGGUUGCCAUUUCCUUCUCCAAUGCAUGAAAGUGCAAAGGGAAAGUAAAGUCGUUCAGUCGUGUUCGACUCUUCGCGACCCCAUGGACUGCAGCCUACCAGGCUCCUCCAUCCAUGGGAUUUUCCAGGCAAGAGUACUGGAGUGGGGUGCCAUCAUCUUCUCCUAGACAGAAUAUUAAAAAGCAGAAACAUUACUUUGCCAACAAAGGCCCAUCUAGUCAAGGCUAUGGUUUUUCCAGUAGUCAUGUAUGGAUGUAAGAGUUGGACUAUAAAGAAAGCUGAGUGCCAAAGAAUUGAUGCUUUUGAACUGUGGUGUUGGAGAAGACUCUUAAGAGUCCCUUGGACUGCAAGGAGGUUCAACUAGUCCAUCCUAAAGGAAAUCAGUCCUGAGUGUUCAUUGGAAGGACUGAUGUUGAAGCUGAAACUCCAAUACUUUGGCCACCUGAUGUGAAGAGCUGACUCAUUGGAAAAAGACCCUGAUGCUGGGAAAGAUUGAAGGUAGGAGGAGAAGGGGAUGAAAGAGGAUGAGAUAUUUGGAUGGC
ensembl:lincRNA